GCACUGCUGAGGAGUCCCACAAUAGGACGAAGGGGCCGUCCAGUGC
rfam:Schistosoma rodhaini strain Burundi genome assembly, scaffold: SROB_scaffold0003330